rnacentral:rRNA from 1 species
GCUCAGUAACACGUGGAUAACGUGCCCUAGAGUGGAGGAUAAUCUCGGGAAAUUGAGGAUAAUACUCCAUAGAUCAUGAAUUCUGGAACGACUCAUGGUCGAAAGUUCCGGCGCUCUAGGAUUGGUCUGCGGCCUAUCAGGUAGUAGUGGGUGUAACGGACCCACUAGCCGACGACGGGUAUGGGCCUUGAGAGAGGGAGCCCAGAGAUGGAAUCUGAGACACGAUUCCAGGCCCUACGGGGCGCAGCAGUCGCGAAAACUUCACAAUGGAGGCAACUCCGAUGAGGGAAUUCCAAGUGCUAGCACAUUAGUGUUAGCUUUUCUUAAGCAUAGAUAACUUAAGGAAUAAGGGCUGGGUAAGACGGGUGCCAGCCGCCGCGGUAAUACCCGCAGCCCAAGUGGUGGUCGAUUUUAUUGAGUCUAAAACGUUCGUAGCCGGUUUGGUAAAUCCUUGGGUAAAUCGAGAGGCUUAACCCUUCGAAUUCCGAGGAGACUGCCAAACUUGGGACCGGGAGAGGCGAGAGGUACUUCUGGGGUAGGGGUAAAAUCCUGUAAUCCUAGAAGGACCACCGGUGGCGAAGCGUCUCGCUAGAACGGAUCCGACGGUGAGGGACGAAGCCCUGGGUCGCAAACGGGAUUAGAUACCCCGGUAGUCCAGGGUGUAAACGCUGCAGACUUGGUGUUGGGGGCCCUACGGGGGCGUUCAGUGCCGGAGAGAAGUUGUUAAGUCUGCUACUUGGGGAGUACGUCCGCAAGAUGAAACUUAAAGGAAUUGGCGGGGGAGCACCGCACGGGAGGAGCGUGCGGUUUAAUUGGAUCACCCCGGAAACUCCCAGCGGGACUGUACAUGAAGUCAGCGAUGACUACUAAAUUUAAAAGUGGGCAUGCGUCGUCGUCGUACGUA